rnacentral:piRNA from 1 species
UGCGGUAAACUUUCAGCAACA